CCCUUAGAUGUUCUGGGCCGCACACGCGCUACACUGAAGGAGGCAGCGUGUACUCCUGGAUCGAAAGAUUUGGGUAACCCGCGAAUCUCCUUCGUGCUAGGGAUUGAGGUUUGCAAUUAUCCUUUAUGAACGAGGAAUUCCCAGUAAGUGCAAGUCAUAAGCUUGCGCUGACUACGUCCCUGCCCUUUGUACACACCACCCGUCGCUACUACCGAUUGAAUGAUUUAGUGAGGACUUCGGACUGGGACCGAUGCGGCUUUCGGGCUGCGUCGGUAUUCUGGAAAGAUGUCCAAACUGUAUCAUUUAGAGGAAGUAAAAGUCGUAACA
rnacentral:rRNA from 1 species